CACGUAGUGGGCAAGCGUUGUCCGGAUUUAUUGGGCGUAAAGAGCUCGUAGGCGGCUUAGUAAGUCGGGUGUGAAACCUCCAGGCUCAACCUGGAGACGCCACCCGAUACUGCUGUGGCUAGAGUCCGGUAGGGGAGCGUGGAAUUCCUGGUGUAGCGGUGAAAUGCGCAGAUAUCAGGAGGAACACCAGCGGCGAAGGCGGCGCUCUGGGCCGGUACUGACGCUGAGGAGCGAAAGCGUGGGGAGCAAACAGG
rnacentral:rRNA from 1 species